rnacentral:tRNA from 1 species
GGAUAAGUGGCCGAGAGGUCUAAGGCAUGAUACUUGAAAUAUCAAACACCCUCCGUGUCGCGAGUUCGAAUCUCGCCUUAUCCG